GUAUCCUUCCGCGCCCACGCGUGCCUGCGGGCUCAUACGAGCCUGCGGACUUCUUCCAGCUCGUGGGCUUCUACCGUCCGCGGAGGACUUCCGGCCUGAACCACCGCCUGCGUUGCGCCUCUUCGCGUGAGCACCACCGAUUCGAUGUCACCUUCAGCACUGUUCAUUUACCACUGAUUUCAACGUUUUUAACCUUUGUGCACCAAAUAAUAAUAAUAAUAAGAGCUACGAUUAUAAUUAAAAAGGUAUGGCUUCCAAGCGAGAAGGAAAAUCCCUAAGGUUGUCACAGAAAUUUUUGAAGGAAAAGGUUAGAAGAUACCGUCUUCAGUCUCACUCUUCUCACCCUUGCGAAGAUCACACGUUUUUGAUCAAAUGGAUGUAUGACUAAUACUCGAGAAAGAAAACGUUACAUCGACUAUGGAAGUGGAAGAUGUCUCUUCUUCUCAAUUUCCUCUUCUUUGGUCCAACGUCCCGGUGUGAUACAUCGUUUCAACAGGAAUGUGUCGCGACCAAAAGUAGUAUUAACGAUAUUCAAACGUCAGCUACACGGUUUGACUGACUCCACACGAUAUUUGAAUGCUGUACUUUAGUAAGUCUCUUUCGUUUUCUGAAAAUAACGACUACUGACUGCUGUAAUUUAUGGAAUACAUACGAUCAAAUUGAAAACUAUGGAUCAUCGCGUGGAUGUUGACGAACAUAGGAACUGGAUUUUGACGCCUAAAACGUUGUGUAGCUUUGCACGAAACUCUCGAAUCUAUAAAUAUCAGCCUGUUGAAUACCGCCCGCCAUCGAGUCGAGUAGCGCCGCGAGCGGGAAAUAUUACAAUGCGCUAUCCGGCGCGUUUUCCAGCCUGGAAAAGCUAAUGGAUUCCAGAAAAAUUUCUGGACAGAUUAAAAAAAUGGAUCCAUGUAUUAGAUAAGAAAAAAACUCGUACAUUUCAGACAAGCUUGACUCUGGUUGUUUUUUUUUUAAAUAAAUUUGAAUAGUAUAAAAAAAUAAACACACACUAACGAUUGAUUUUUUUUUUUAUGCAAACGAAUGUAUUUGUUCGAUGUGUAAUUAACGAUGUGUACAAUGAGUUCGUUUCAUAUCAAGUACAGAAAAACAAUAGCAAUUACUCAUUAUUUGUAUAUUUUGUGAAUAAAAUUUUUUUCUACGUUAAUUAAUAUCUUUGCUGUUCCAUUACUGCACAUUGCAUUAAAGGGCAAUUUUGUGACUGACUCCCCUCAUUCUUCCUCGUGGAACAAACGAGCGAUUGUCGUGUCGAUAAAUAUCGUUAAGCAGAAAAUUAAAGAGAGAAGCCGUUUUAUACACAGCCUUUGAAAUAUCGCGUGGGAAUUGUCCGAUUUCCUUAGGUACUAUAUACAGUUAAAGUAAAGUACAAAUAGUUACAGAUUCGACCAUGGAACAACCUGAACAUUAUGUGCUCGCGAUAGAACCUUAUGUAAUGUAUAUUUCAAACAGGCUCACAAUGUUUUCUCGUCGAUGAACAUGUGUAGAGCUGUCACUUUCGCUCACGGCGGAACUACAUCUUAAAUAAUGUAACUAAUCUUAAUUUCCUUAAAAGGUACAAUAUUUAUAUAUUUAUAUUUAUAUAUAGCGGACAAGGAAUAGAGAAUCCAAAAUCGAUACGAACAUCGCUACGAUAAAAAUCCAAAUGAUUCUUAUAAAGAGACUGAUCACUGGAAACUAAAAACGCUGUUCUUCUUCAAAGUGUACAACACGGUUUCGUGACUGAUUUGUGUGUGUAUAUGUG